rnacentral:rRNA from 1 species
ACGCUAUCACUCCUACGGGAGGCAGCAGUAGGGAAUAUUGGGCAAUGGGACGAGAGUCUGACCCAGCCAUGCCGCGUGCAGGAAGACGGCCCUAUUGGGUUGUAAAACUGCUUUUAUCUGGGGAAAGAAAAAGGGCCCCAUGCGUGGGACAUUGCCGGUACCAGAUGAAUAAGCACCGGCUAACUCCGUGCCAGCAGCCGCGGUAAUACGGAGGGUGCAAGCGUUGUCCGGAUUUAUUGGGUUUAAAGGGUGCGUAGGCGGCCAAUUAAGUCAGUGGUGAAAGACUUCGGCUCAACCGGAGCAGUGCCAUUGAUACUGGUUGGCUUGAGUGCUGCAGGGGUACAUGGAAUUGAUGGUGUAGCGGUGAAAUGCAUAGAUACCAUCAGGAAUACCAGUGGCGAAGGCGGCCCCCUGGACAAAGACUGACGCUCAGAUGCGAAAGCGUGGGGAGCAAACAGGAUUAGAUACCCUGGUAG